rnacentral:rRNA from 1 species
CUACGGGUUGCUGCAGUCGAGAAUCAUUCGCAAUGGGCGAAAGCCUGACGAUGCGACGCCGUGUGGACGAUGAAGGCCUUCGGGUUGUAAAGUCCUUUCGCCAGGGAACAAGAGAGAGUAACUAAUAAUUACUCGAUUUGAGCGUACCUGGUAAAGAAGCACCGGCUAACUCCGUGCCAGCAGCUGCGGUAAUAAGGAGGGUGCAAGCAUUAAUCGGAUUUAUUGGGUGUAAAGAGCGUGUAGGCGGAUUAGUAAGUCAGAUGUGAAAUUUCGGAGCUCAACUUCGAAGCUGCAUUUGAAACUACUUGUCUUGAGGGUAGACGGAGAAAACGGAAUUCCAAGUGUAGCGGUGAAAUGCGUAGAUAUUUGGAAGAACACCGGUGGCGAAAGCGGUUUUCUAGUUUAUUCCUGACGCUGAGACGCGAGAGCAAGGGGAGCAAACAGGAUUAGAUACCCCGAUAGUC